UACGGGGGGGGCAAGCGUUGUUCGGAAUUACUGGGCGUAAAGGGCUUGUAGGCGGCCAACUAAGUCAGACGUGAAAUCCCUCGGCUUAACCGGGGAACUGCGUCUGAUACUGGAUGGCUAGAGAUUGGGAGAGGGAUGCGGAAUUCCAGGUGUAGCGGUGAAAUUCGUAGAUAUCGGGAGGAACACCAGUGGCGAAGGCGGCGAUCUGGGAAGAUACUGACGCUGAGGUGCGAAAGCGUGGGGAGCAAACAGG
rnacentral:rRNA from 1 species